AACAUCGCGCACCUGCGGGAACCUGCGGAGGGAUCAUUACAGAGUUGCAAAACUCCCUAAACCAUUGUGAACGUUACCUAAACCGUUGCUUCGGCGGGCGGCCCGGGUCCUUCCCGGCGCCCAUCGGCCCUCGCGGGCGCCCGCCGGAGGUAAACCAAACUAUUGCAUUGUAUGGCCUCUCUGAGUCUUCUGUACUGAAUAAGUCAAAACUUUCAACAACGGAUCUCAGAUCGGAAGAGA
rnacentral:misc_RNA from 1 species